rnacentral:lncRNA from 1 species
UUAUCUCAUUAUAUAUAAUGGUUGUGUUACAAUAUGUACCAUAUACGUACAUAGGUACAGAAGCUAUACAUAGUCUAACACACUCCCUCAAUCUUAGCCACUUUCUAAAGAACUGAGAAGGGUAAGAUUGCGCCUACAAGCCUCAAACUGUGGCAGCGGUAAAGGCUUAGUGAAGAUGUCUGCAAGUUGAUCCUUAGAUGAGAUAAACUUGAUCUGGAGUUGCUUCUGUGAUACACGUUCCCGUACAAAGUGAUAGUCAACUUCAAUGUGUUUCAUUCGGGCAUGAAAUACUGGAUUUGCAGAAAGGUAUGUAGCACCGAUGUUAUCACACCAAAGAAUAGGAGGCUGUGGUUGAGACAAACCCAACUCCUGAAGCAAAGACUGCACCCAAAUAAUCUCUGCAGUAGCAUUAGCCACAGCCUUGUACUCAGCUUCAGUACUGCUACGUGACACAGUAGCCUGUUUCCGAGCACUCCAGGUGAUCAAAUUAGAGCCAAAGAAUACUGCAUAACCCCCCGUGGAUCGCCUGUCAUCUGGGCUACCAGCCCAAUCUGCAUCAGAGAAGGCCGAAAGGACCCGAGAGGAAGUCGGUCGAAUAUGCAUACCAAAUGUCAGGGUGAACUGAACAUAACGAAGAAUGCGUUUAACAGCAGCCCAAUGAGUAUCUCUGGGAGCCUGAAGAUACUGACAAACCCUGUUAACAGCAUAAGAGAUAUCUGGUCUCGUGAUCGUCAAGUACUGAAGUCCACCAACAAUGCUCCUGUACUCUGUGGCAUCCGCAGGAGACAAAAGCUCACCAUCAACAGCUGUUAUCUUGUCGGUAGACGACAUGGGUGUGGUGGUCGGUUUGCACUUCAGCAUGCCAGCUCUCUGUAACAACUCCAAGGAGUACUUCUUCUGCGUAAGGACAAGACCAGUAGCACGAGAAGUGACCUCAACUCCAAGAAAGUAGUGAAGCUUCCCAAGAUCUUUGACCGCAAAAUCAGCACCAAGAGAGCAGACAAGAGCAUCAGCAGCAUACUGAGAAGAGCUGACAAGGAUAAUAUCAUGACAUAUACCAAAAGAUACAUAGUGACUUCUGGCUUCUGUAGAAGAAAUAACGAAGUGUCAGCAGUAGACGGCACAAACCCAUGAGCACGAAGGGCAGAGGCAAGGCGGGCAUGCCAGGCACGAGGAGCUUGCUUCAAACCAUAUAGUGCUUUGGAAAGACGACAGAUAUAGUCAGGACGAUCAGGAUCAGAGAAACCAGGCGGCUGUUUCAUAUAAACCUCUUCCUCCAAAAAUCCAUGUAGAAAAGCAUUCUGCACAUCAAGUUGACGAAGUGACCAACCACGAGAAACAGCAAUGGAGAGAAGAAGCCGAAUAGUGGUAGGCUUGACGACAGGACUGAAGGUGUCCUCAUAGUCAAGACCAUGACGCUGCUGAAAACCGCGAGCAACAAGUCGCGCUUUGUAACGCUCAAUAGAUCCAUCCGAAUGCUUCUUCACUUUGAAUACCCAUUUUGAGUCAAUAACAUUUACCCGUGGUGGUGGAGGAACGAGAGUCCAUGUCUUGUUACGAAGAAGAGCAUGAAACUCCUGCUCCAUAGCCUCUCGCCAAUGUGGAAUGCGCAGGGCAGCCUGAUAUGAGCGAGGCUCAGAAGAUGGAUCCGCAACAGCAGCAGCCAAACAAGCAGCCAACCAAUCAACCGUACCAUCCUUACGUUCCUUAGGUUUGAAAAUGCCACUGCGACUGCGUGUAUGUGGUCGGGACACAGGAACCACCGAGGUCGACGGAGCAGCCUGCAACGGGCUGGAGGACGGCGACGUUGACGAGUCAGCCGGUGACGAGGAGCCAGUCAUGGUAGCCUCGGACUCGGUUGGCGAAGAAGGCCGACCCACCGGCGAAACCGGCAGAGCAGACGAAGCAGCUGGCGACUCCGGCAUCACAGACCGGGCCGAUGGCGAGCUCGGCAUAGUGGGCCGUGGCGCGGCCGGUGUCGCGGGCCGAUCCGCUGAUGAAGGCGACGUGAGGACCCGAGCCGCGGGCGAAGACGGCGUGACGGGCCGAGCCGCAGGCGAAGACGGCGUGACGGGCCGAGCCGCGGGCGACUCGGCGGCCGCUGGCGAAACGGACCGAGCAGUGGAGAUGCUCGGCGCGACGGGCUUGUCGGGUGACCAUGCAUGGGCACGCGAAUCGAUGCCAUGCAACAUAGGGCGAUCGACGUGCCCACCAGAAGACGACGAUGAUGAUGGUGAAUCCUCCAACAGCUCCAAACGAGCUCCACGUCCGGUUCCUGCACCAUGGUUAGGUAACAGCAAAGGAGAGUAUGCAACAUCAUCAAAUUGGUCAGAAGCAACAGAGGAUGAAUGCAGGGAUGAUGGUUCGACAGUGGACACAGGAAGGUUGGCAAAGGGAAAAACAUGCUCAUCAAACACGACGUCCCGAGAUAUAUAGACACGAUUAGUGGGAACAUGAAGACAUUUGUAACCUUUAUGAAGAGAGCUAUAGCCAAGAAAAACACACUUCUUAGAACGAAACUCAAGCUUGCGCUUGUUAUAUGGACGAAGAUGCGGCCAGCAAGCACACCCAAAUACCUUGAGAAAGGUAUAAUCAGGUUGUUCAUUAAGGAGAACCUCAAUGGGAGUCUUCAUGUUUAAAACACGAGUAGGAGUACGGUUGAUGAGAAAGCAUGCAGUGGUGAAAGCAUCACUCCAAAACCGAAACGGAACAAAUGCAUGGGCCAAAAGAGUAAGACCAGCUUCAACAAUAUGACGAUGCUUACGUUCGACUGAACCAUUCUGCUGAUGUGUAUGUGGACAUGCUAAACGAUGAGCUAUCCCAAGCGACUGAAAGAAAGAGUUGAGGUUGCGAUACUCGCCCCCCCCCAGUCUGACUGGACAUGAACAAUUUUGUGCUUGAGAAGACGUUCAACAUGUUUUUGAAACUGAACAAAAAUAUCAAACACAUCAGAUUUGCGUUUAAUAAGGUAAAGCCAGGUAAAGCGACUAUAAGCAUCAACGAAACUGAUAUAGUAAUUAUGACCACUGACAGAAGUCUGAGCAGGACCCCAUACAUCUGAAAACACAAGUUCUAAAGGAUGUUUCACCUCUCGACUGGACUCCGAAAAAGGAAGUUGAUGACUCUUCCCCUGCUGACAAGCAUCACACACUGCUACAUCUUUAUGACUAGACAAACUAGGAAGCUCAUGACGACGCAAAAUAUGACGGACAAUAGGUGUGGCCGGGUGACCAAGACGAGCAUGCCACUGUGACGGAGAGACCCGAACUCCACUGAAAACACGAGCGACACCAGGAUGCUCCAGACGGUAGAGGCCCUGGCACAACCGCCCACUAAGAAGAAUGUCCCUCGUGCCCCGAUCCUUAAUAAAAAGAUCAAAAGGGUGAAAUUCACAAAGCACAUUAUUAUCACGUGUGAGUUUAGGAACUGAAAGAAGAUUACGGGUCACAGAUGGAACUCGAAGAACAUUGCGAAGCUGAAGACUCCUAUUGGCAUGUCUAGUGAGAAGAGAUGCUUGACCAAUAUGAGAGAUGUGCAUACCUGCUCCAUUGGCGGUGUGGAUCUUGUCGGAGCCAUGAUAGGGUUCACGAGUGUGAAGCUUUCCCAUCUCGCUGGUUAGAUGCUCUGUCGCCCCAGAGUCCAUGUACCAGUGUGGAUCGAUGGAGUAGGACUGAGUGUGUCCCUGUUGCUUCUGCGGCGCGGGACGAUUAGCCAUGGCGACCUGACGGGCAUUGUUGCGUGUAUCUUUGCCGUCAUUGCCAAGACCAAGGAAGCUUCGCUGGAAGCGCUUAUGACACUUGGAGGCCCAGUGCCCAUCGCGGCCACAAAGCUGACACACACGUGGACCGCCAGCCCCCGGUAAGGUCGCAGUAGGUGGGGGGGCCGAGGCGGGCGACGGUGGCAGCCCCAAGGGAGACCGGGGUGAUGAAGAAGAGCGGCCACCCUUGGUGGCGGCGUUGGCCGAGAGGGAGCCAGUGCCCCUGGUGCGGCGAGUCUCGACCCGUUGCUCAGUGAGAAGAAGCCGAGAGAAAACCUCGUGUGCCAGCAUGGGUGUCGAGUUGCCCCGCUCGUUGAUGAUCUCGACUAAGGCAUCAUACUCCUCAUCAAGACCAUUGACAAUAAACGAGUUGAACUCGGAGUCGGUGAGGGGCUGUCCAAUGGAGGCCAAUGUGUCGGCGAGGCCCUUGACCUUGUUGUAGAACUCAGUGGCAGUGGAGUCAAACUUCUGACACUCUCCAAGCUGACGACGGAGUGCAGAGACACGAGCCUGGGACUGCGCUGCAAAGGUGCGCUCAAGGAUGGUCCAGGCCUCAUGAGACGUCUUCGCGAAGACAACAAGGCCGGCAACUGCCGGCGAGAGCGACCCCUGGAUGGAGGAGAGGUUCGCCUGGUCCUGCCCCGUCCAGACGCGAUGGGCCGGAUUGUAGACCGGACCGUGCACGCUGUCUACCAGCGCGGGUGGGCAGGGAAGCGAUCCGUCGACGUAGCCUAGUAGGUAGUGACUCCCCAAGAGCGGGAGAACCUGCGCACGCCAGAAGAUGUAGUUGUCGGCGGAGAGCUUGAUGGUGAUGAGAUGACCGAAGUGAAACGGCGGCGGUGAAGACAAUCCCAUCGAGGAGGCUGCCUGGGGUGCAAACACCAUGGAGGCAGCCGGAGGCACCGAAGCCGAUGCGGGAGGAGGCGGGACAGCAGCCAGGGCGGGCGCCGCAAAGCUCGCGGCCGGUGCGGACGCCGCAAGGCCCGCGGCCGGGGCGGACGCCGCCAACCCCGCCAGCGGGGCAGUGUGAUNNNNNNNNNNNNNNNNNNNNNNNNNNNNNNNNNNNNNNNNNNNNNNNNNNNNNNNNNNNNNNNNNNNNNNNNNNNNNNNNNNNNNNNNNNNNNNNNNNNNNNNNNNNNNNNNNNNNNNNNNNNNNNNNNNNNNNNNNNNNNNNNNNNNNNNNNNNNNNNNNNNNNNNNNNNNNNNNNNNNNNNNNNNNNNNNNNNNNNNNNNNNNNNNNNNNNNNNNNNNNNNNNNNNNNNNNNNNNNNNNNNNNNNNNNNNNNNNNNNNNNNNNNUGCGGGAGGAGGCGGGACCGCAGCCAGGGCGGGCGCCGCAAAGCUCGCGGCCGGUGCGGACGCCGCAAGGCCCGCGGCCGGGGCGGACGCCGCCAACCCCGCCAGCGGGGCAGUGUGAUCCGCUUGCGGCAGGAGCGGCGGGACGACGCCUGCGGAGUCCGCAGCGGACGGCGGCGCCGCGGUGUGGACCACGAGGUCACGCCCAAGCGAGGGCGCCAGCGGCGUGGAGAAGACGGAGCCGAUGCUCCUUGUCCCGAUCGGAGCCGGAACAAAGACGGCAUCGAGCGGGAGGUUGAGCAGAGCCGCAAGAGAGGCCGGGAGGAAGCCCGCAGCAGUGAAACCGGUGGUGGCGCCGCUCGACAUGGCGGCGGCGCGAUUGGUGGCGCGGCGGCGGCGGUGAAGGCGGCGGCAGCUGCGGCGGCGGUGCGGGUAUUAGGGUUUAGAAGCGGAAGCGAUCGUAACCGAGCGUGAUACCAUGUAAGACAAUAAGUUUUGGGGAAUCAGCACAAUCCUCUAAGGGUGGCUUAUCUCAUUAUAUAUAAUGGUUGUGUUACAAUAUGUACCAUAUACGUACAUAGGUACAGAAGCUAUACAUAGUCUAACAAGGUACAAGAAUCACACGACCUGGAGGCUGGGCUCGGCCGGCUUGUCGCCGGCCUCCUCCUCCAGUGACGCGAGCCACUGGAGCAGCGCCGCGUUGAACUGCUCCGGCGCCUCGUCGUGCGGGCAGUGCCCGGCCUGCAGGUUGACGACGGUGGAGUUGGCGUAGAACUCGUGGAUCCGCGCCGCCUUGGACGGGCCGACCCACGGGUCCAGGUCCCCCCACAGCAGCAGCAGCGGGCACGUCAGCUUCCCCAGCAGCUUGUCCAGCGUGUACUGGCUCUGGUUCGCCACGAACCGCGACAUGAGCCUGUAGUACACCUCGCCGGCGUUCGGGUCGGCCGUUGGCGCCGUGAUCGAGCUGAUCAGGUACUCGUCCACGUUGCUCGGAUCUUUGUACACCUG